GUGUAGUAUCUGUUCUUAUCAGUUUAAUAUCUGAUACGUCCUCUAUCCGAGGACAAUAUAUUAAAUGGAUUUUUGGAACUAGGAGUUGGAAUAGGAGCUUGCUCCGUCCACUCCACGCAUCGACCUGGUAUUGCAGUACUUCCAGGAACGGUGC
ensembl:snRNA U2 U2 spliceosomal RNA